CUAUAUCACAGGACAUCUCCAAUGCCACUAGACAGUGUCGCAUUGCUUUCUAAUUCAACGGGCCACCGCACGAAAUUAGGUAUGGUAAUCUGAGUGUUAUAGUCUCGCUUUUUGCACUAUUUCUUUUGUGGCAUGUAUGGUUGUGUUCAUUGGAAAAUUAGAUAGUCUCUAUUUGUAUAGUAGAACCUGAAGGUUAUGUGAUGUGGUUUGCUAUUUGGAUGGUCUCGGGACUUUAAUAUUAUGGAUGUAGGAAGGGAUGAACCUAAAUUGUAGGAUAGUGCUUGUUUAUCAUGACAGAAGUUUAUGAACAGUAGGGUGCUAAUGGAAAAUGGCGAAUUCAAUGAGGAUGGGCUAUUUCUUGUUCGGGUUCAAGGUUUAGAUAAUACACUGCAAGAAUCAGAUGGUUAUGAUGGUUCAACAAAGAAUCAAUAAUAGGAAGUAGGACAAGAUUAGUUGUGCGUAGUAAAAUAAGUACCAAAGAGUACAAUAGUUUAUUGGCCUGAGAGGCUUACUUGGAAGUUUUGUCACUUUCUUGGAUUGGUAUUUUGGAAUCUUGAUGGUUUUGUUGAGACUUUAUGGAGUUCUUUAUUAUUAUAUGUUGGAAGAGUUCGUUGAUGUUUUAUUUGUGAACGUAUACUUUUGACUAGUACUAAAAGGAGUUUUAUGUGUUAUAAAGUUGUUUCCCUGUGUUAUUUGGAGUCUAUAUAUAAUUGUAUUUGUUGGGAUGU